rnacentral:rRNA from 1 species
GACGGAGGAUGCAAGCGUUAUCCGGAAUGAUUGGGCGUAAAGCGUCCGCAGGUGGCAGUUCAAGUCUGCUGUCAAAGACCGGGGCUUAACUUCGGAAAGGCAGUGGAAACUGAACAGCUAGAGUAUGGUAGGGGCAGAGGGAAUUCCUGGUAUAGCGGUGAAAUGCGUAGAGAUCAGGAAGAACAUCGGUGGCGAAGGCGCUCUGCUGGACCAUAACUGACACUCAGGGACGAAAGCUAGGGGAGCGAAUGGG